rnacentral:misc_RNA from 1 species
GAUGAAGAACGUAGCAAAAUGCGAUAAGUAAUGUGAAUUGCAGAAUUCAGUGAAUCAUCGAAUCUUUGAACGCACAUUGCGCCCCCUGGUAUUCCGGGGGGCAUGCCUGUCCGAGCGUCAUUGCUGCCCUCAAGCACGGCUUGUGUGUUGGGCCUCCGCCCUCCUCCCGGGGGACGGGCCCGAAAGGCAGCGGCGGCACCGCGUCCGGUCCUCGAGCGUAUGGGGCUUCGUCACCCGCUCUUGUAGGCCCGGCCGGCGCUUGCCGACACAUCAAUCUUUUUUCCAGGUUGACCUCGGAUCAGGUAGGGAUACCCGCUGAACUUAAGCAUAUCAAUAAGCGGAGGA